ensembl:miRNA
UGUAAACAUCCUACACUCAGCUGUUAUUGAUUGCCACAGAGGCUGAGAGGAGGUUGUUUACUUG